UACGUAGGGUGCAAGCGUUAAUCGGAAUUACUGGGCGUAAAGCGUGCGCAGGCGGUUUUGUAAGUCAGAUGUGAAAGCCCCGGGCUCAACCUGGGAAUGGCCGUUGAAACUGGCGAACUGGAGUGUGGCAGAGGGGGGUGGAAUUCCGCGUGUAGAGGUGAAAUUCGUAGAUAUUCGGAAGAACACCAGUGGCGAAGGCGACUUACUGGACGACUGUUGACGCUGAGGUGCGAAAGCGUGGGGAGCAAACAGG
rnacentral:rRNA from 1 species